rfam:Corchorus olitorius cultivar O-4 contig12189, whole genome shotgun sequence.
AUGGCAUGUUGACGACAAUCUUCACAAAGUUUCUUGAAUCUUUCCCACACUUAAUAAAAAUUCUCAUCUUUGUGUUGUCGAAAGUUUGUAAUCCUUUCUCUCCCCUU